AGUCGGCCGGUCUGUCGCUUGUGCAGCUUGCGCAGGAGGAAAGUCCGGGCAACACAGAGCAUCCCACUUCCUAACAGAAAGCUGUCCGCGAGGGUGGAGUAACGCAGAAGAAAAGAACCGCCUCCGGAGUCACAUCCGGCGGUAAGGGUGAGAAGGUGGGGUAAGAGCCCACCGGCCUUGUGGCGACACAAGGGCCGUGCGUCUUGGGAGUUGUAAGGUCAUGUAAACCGGCGUCAAGAGAGUUGCUCGCUCCAUGUCGGAGGGUAGACCGCUAAAGCCGCAUGGCGACAUGCGGACGAGAUAAAUGACAGACGUCCCGUGGCUUCACGGGAAACAGAACCCGGCUUACAGGCCGACUGCU
rnacentral:RNase_P_RNA from 1 species